AUUGAACGCUGGCGGCAGGCCUAACACAUGCAAGUCGAGCGGAUGAAGGGAGCUUGCUCCUGGAUUCAGCGGCGGACGGGUGAGUAAUGCCUAGGAAUCUGCCUGGUAGUGGGGGAUAACGUCCGGAAACGGGCGCUAAUACCGCAUACGUCCUGAGGGAGAAAGUGGGGGAUCUUCGGACCUCACGCUAUCAGAUGAGCCUAGGUCGGAUUAGCUAGUUGGUGGGGUAAAGGCCUACCAAGGCGACGAUCCGUAACUGGUCUGAGAGGAUGAUCAGUCACACUGGAACUGAGACACGGUCCAGACUCCUACGGGAGGCAGCAGUGGGGAAUAUUGGACGAUGGGCGAAAGCCUGAUCCAGCCAUGCCGCGUGUGUGAAGAAGGUCUUCGGAUUGUAAAGCACUUUAAGUUGGGAGGAAGGGCAGUAAGUUAAUACCGUGCUGUUUUGACGUUACCAACAGAAUAAGCACCGGCUAACUUCGUG
rnacentral:rRNA from 1 species